rnacentral:rRNA from 1 species
UGGGGAAUAUUGCACAAUGGGGGAAACCCUGAUGCAGCGACGCCGCGUGAGUGAAGAAGUAUUUCGGUAUGUAAAGCUCUAUCAGCAGGGAAGAAAAAAGACGGUACCUGACUAAGAAGCCCCGGCUAACUACGUGCCAGCAGCCGCGGUAAUACGUAGGGGGCAAGCGUUAUCCGGAUUUACUGGGUGUAAAGGGAGCGUAGACGGUAUGGCAAGUCUGAAGUGAAAGCCCAGGGCUUAACCCUGGGACUGCUUUGGAAACUGUUAGACUAGAGUGCUGGAGAGGUAAGUGGAAUUCCUAGUGUAGCGGUGAAAUGCGUAGAUAUUAGGAGGAACACCAGUGGCGAAGGCGGCUUACUGGACAGUAACUGACGUUGAGGCUCGAAAGCGUGGGGAGCAAACA